GUGAGGAAUAUUGGUCAAUGGGCGAGAGCCUGAACCAGCCAAGUCGCGUGAAGGAAGAAGGAUCUAUGGUUCGUAAACUUCUUUUGCAGGGGAAUAAAGUGCGGGACGUGUCCUGUUUUGUAUGUACCCUGAGAAUAAGGAUCGGCUAACUCCGUGCCAGCAGCCGCGGUAAUACGGAGGAUCCGAGCGUUAUCCGGAUUUAUUGGGUUUAAAGGGUGCGUAGGUGGUUUGAUAAGUCAGCGGUGAAAGUUUGUAGCUUAACUGUAAAAAUGCCGGUGAAACUGUCGGACGUGAGUGUAGAUGAGGGAGGCGGAAUGCGGGGUGUAGCGGUGAAAUGCAUAGAGAUCACGCAGAACUCCGAUUGCGAAGGCAGCUUACUAAGCUACAACUGACACUGAAGCACGAAAGCGUGGGGAUCAAACAGGAUUAGAAACCCGGGUAGUCC
rnacentral:rRNA from 1 species